rnacentral:rRNA from 1 species
UACGUAGGGUGCGAGCGUUAAUCGGAAUUACUGGGCGUAAAGCGUGCGCAGGCGGUUUUGUAAGCCAGAUGUGAAAGCCCCGGGCUUAACCUGGGAAUGGCAUUUGGGACUGCAAGGCUUGAGUGCGGCAGAGGAGACUGGAAUUCCUGGUGUAGCAGUGAAAUGCGCCAGAUAUCAGGAGGAACACCGGUGGCCGAAGGCGGCUACCUGGACGGGUACUGACGCUGAGGAGCGAAAGCGUGGGAGCGAACAGG